rnacentral:rRNA from 1 species
UACGUAGGGUCCGAGCGUUGUCCGGAUUUAUUGGGCGUAAAGAGCUCGUAGGCGGUCUGUCGCGUCGGCUGUGAAAACCCGGGGCUCAACCCCGGGCCUGCAGUCGAUACGGGCAGACUAGAGUGCGGUAGGGGAGACUGGAAUUCCUGGUGUAGCGGUGAAAUGCGCAGAUAUCAGGAGGAACACCGGUGGCGAAGGCGGGUCUCUGGGCCGAUACUGACGCUGAGGAGCGAAAGCGUGGGGAGCGAACAGG